rnacentral:rRNA from 1 species
AGCAGCCGCGGGGAACCAGGACCUUUACUUUGAAAAAUUAGAGUGUUUAAAGCAGGCAUUUUGCUUGAAUACAUUAGCAUGGAAUAAUAAAAUAGGACGGCAUGGUUCUAUUUUGUUGUUUCUAGGACCACCGUAAUGAUUAAUAGGGAUAGUUGGGGGCAUUAGUAUUCAAUUGUCGAGGUGAAAUUCUUGGAUUUAUUGAAGACUAACUACUGCGAAAGCAUUUGCCAAGGAUGUUUCAUUAAUCAAGAACGAAAGUUAGGGGAUCGAAGACGA